rnacentral:rRNA from 1 species
UGGGGAAUAUUGCACAAUGGGCGCAAGCCUGAUGCAGCCAUGCCGCGUGUGUGAAGAAGGCCUUCGGGUUGUAAAGCACUUUCAGCGAGGAGGAAGGUGGUGAGCUUAAUACGCUCAUCAAUUGACGUUACUCGCAGAAGAAGCACCGGCUAACUCCGUGCCAGCAGCCGCGGUAAUACGGAGGGUGCAAGCGUUAAUCGGAAUUACUGGGCGUAAAGCGCACGCAGGCGGUUUGUUAAGUCAGAUGUGAAAUCCCCGGGCUCAACCUGGGAACUGCAUUUGAAACUGGCAAGCUAGAGUCUCGUAGAGGGGGGUAGAAUUCCAGGUGUAGCGGUGAAAUGCGUAGAGAUCUGGAGGAAUACCGGUGGCGAAGGCGGCCCCCCUGGACGAAGACUGACGCUCAGGUGCGAAAGCGUGGGGCAGCAAACAGGAUUAGAUACCCUGGUAGUCCAGCGCUGUAAACGAUGUCGAUUUGGAGGUUGUGCCCUUGAGGCGUGGCUUCCGGAGCUAACGCGUUAAAUCGACCGCCUGGGGGAGUAC